AUUUUAAUUCUCGAUAACAACAUCGUAAGUAAACACUAUACGCGAAAAAAAAUACGUAAAAGUGCGAACCAAGAUAUUGUAAUACAUUUUUUAAUCUUAUAACUGAAAUUGAUUAGCUUUUACUGCUAUUUAAAUUUAACAGAAACUGUUAAAUUGUCAGCCGUAAUGUUCAGAAUAGUUUAGUGCUGUUCGUUUAUGGUAUUCGUAUAUACCUAUUGUAUAUAAAAUAUUUAAGGAGUAAGUCGAAUUUUAAAUAAGAAUAAAAUGGUUAAGCGCAAGAGCGAAGUAGCUCUGGCUGACGCCGAACAAAAUAAAUCGGUUAGAGAAAAGUAUAUGAAAACUGACAAGUCCAAUGUUCGCACAUCCAGUCUUUUUAUGCCUAUCAUGGCACUGGAAGGUCAUGAUGGUGAUAUAUUUGCCACAAAAUUUCAUCCUGAAGGCGAAUAUCUGGCCUCUUCGGGUUUCGACAGAAAAAUUUUCAUAUGGAGUGUGUAUGGUGAAUGUGAAAACUUGGGUGUCCUCACUGGCCAUUCUGGAGCUGUUUUAGAUAUGAAAUUCUCCACUGACGGAACAUUAAUAUACACAAGUAGUACUGAUAUGACGGUUUCAUUUUGGGAUAUGUACAAGGGUCAAAGAGUCAAGAAACUUAAAGGACAUACUGGGUUUGUUAAUUCGUGUGAUUCUGCAAGACGUGGACCUCAAAUGAUCACAAGUGCUUCUGAUGAUUGCACCAUUAAAGUAUGGGAUCCUAGAAAACGAGGAGGCGAUGCAGUAACUACUUUUAAUAAUAACUAUCAAGUGAUGUCUGUAUGUUUUAAUGACACAGCUGAUCAAGUUAUAACUGGUGGUCUAGAUAACGAAAUAAAAAUUUGGGAUUUACGUAAAAAUGCGCUACUUCAUCGUUUACCUGGCCAUACAGAUACAGUGACUGGACUUGAAUUGUCACCCGAUGGCUGUUAUUUACUGUCAAAUGCAAUGGAUAAUAGCUUGAGAAUAUGGGAUGUGAGACCUUAUGCACCCGCUGAUAGGUGUUUGAAAGUCUUUUCAGGGCAUACUCAUAAUUUUGAAAAGAACUUAUUGCGGUGUGCAUGGUCACCUGACGGUUCAAAAGUGUCGGCAGGUUCAGCUGAUAGAUAUGUGUAUAUUUGGGAUGCUAAUACUCGUAGAAUAUUAUACAAAUUGCCAGGUCAUAAUGGAAGUGUAAAUGAUGUGGACUUCCAUCCAAAAGAACCAAUAAUUAUGUCUGGAUCCAGUGACAAAGUUGUAUAUCUCGGAGAGUUCGAAUAGUUCGAUUGAAUCCAUUUGAAAUUGAACUGACAUUAUUUUAUUUUAAAUUUAUAUUAAGCAAUGCCCAAAUGCCCACAAACUGUUGGAAUAUUUUUCUGGAAGUUUAACAUAAAAACAUACUACAUACAUUUUUAUGCAUAA